AGAGCUUGACUAUGUGAAAAUAUUGAGGGCUAGAGUGCCAUUAUUCCUUUCUCUUUUCACUAUUGCAAUUAUUGCUGCAUUGGCCCUGGUGUGAUAAUCUCCUAUUAAAAGAGGAACAAAAUGCAAAAUCUCACAGAUGGCAAAGCUUGCACCAUUUUUCUACAUUAAUGGAAACUACAGUCGCCCCUCCUAACUCACGAAUCUGAGAUCCUCAACUUCGAAUAUCCAUGGAAGGGCAACCUGUGCUAUUUCCAAUGGUGUGCACACCUGGGCUGCACGCACGAGGGUGCACCCUAUUCAAACCUAUGAGGCUUGAAUAUGCAUAAGCCUACAUUUUCAUGGUGUGUGUGUGUGUCCAGAACAGAUCCUCUGCAAAAAUGGAGGGCCAACUGAAUAUCAUUUAACCAAUCUCCAUUGAAAACUCUCAUGUUGACAUUAUCCCAUUUUCACGUACAUGAAGAAUUCUAUGCUUCAUAAGGCUGAAGGAACUACUACAGACUACUUGCAUCUUCUUGCAGCUAUGUUGCUAUUCUUUGCUUUUUUUCUGGGCCUUAGACAGUUUUUAGAAGACUUUUUCACACCUAUCUGUCAUGCCACUUAUAUAUAUAGUACCCUACCAUAGUAUAUCAUGUGAACUGGUAUUCUAGGCUUAAUAAUCCUCAUGUAAAAAUGGAGAAAAGAGUUAUCAAAAUUAGUAUUUAUUUAAUAAAGAAACCACAAACAGCUUGGUCAUUAUUGUUGACUCCAGAACAUUCAAAAAAACCCUCUUAAAAUGGUGUUUUCCAUUAGAAUUCCAAAUAGAAAUGGUCAAAAUGGUCUCCUGGUUGGAGACUUUCAGAAGCAGCUUCCUACUGAUAGGUCAGAACAAAGAUAAUAAUAGCCUGACUCUGGAGAUGGCAAAGAAAAUUCAAAGUGCUCUGCAUGUUCACAGCACAUAGCAAAACCUUGAGGAGAAAUGAACUUGAGGGAAGACCUGUCAGAGGAGGCUUCCCCAUCUUCUCCAUCCUAGCACAGGCAGGAGGUAGAUAUAGACUCCUCUGCAGCUCUUGUUGUAGCCAAAACAUACCGUCAUUUUUUCUUGGCCUUUGUCUGGGGAUGCACCUCUUGUGCAUCCUCAGUAGAUGCAUAUCCAGAUUACUGGACAUCUGAAGGUGAUGCUGAAGACAUGGAGGAAUGAACUCUUCUGGAUCUCCUAAGGUGUGAGUGCCUUCUAGUGUCCUUCUUGGAGCUUGAGUCCCCAUUGGGCAUGUUCUGGUGUUUUUUGUGUUCUGCAUACUAACAGUACACUAUUUCUGGUCUAGUAUUUUGCUAAGUAAGUGCCAUAGCCAUCACUGCCACCACCCUCUCCUCUUCAGCCUGUUAGGCCAGAAGAGAAUUCCAUCAGCAGAGCUCCAGAUGGAAAAGCUACCCUCCCACAAUGAGACACUGGAGGAAAGUGGGUGGUUUGGUGUCACUUACCCAUAAAGCCAAAACAAUCUCUGCAUGUAUAAUCAGAUCUAUGAUGUGAAGUAUUGCUAUGCACCUCUACCACCUGAACUAGCACAGUGUCUAUUCCCCCUGCAAUGGUGGAUUAACCUGCCUUCUCAGUGUGCCAAAAAUUCCCACAAGGUAGGGCUGUCCAUGUCACCCCCAUUUCCUUGUUUGAGGACAGCUCAAGGCUCAGAGAUCUAUCUAACUCCCAAACAUGGGCUAAAAUCUCAGUGAAGAUGGAAGAAGGAAUUGAACCAACAAAAAGUUGGUUUAUCCUUAGAAAUGAACUGUUUUCUUAGCUGGAGAGAAGCAACAACCCUAUUCCUCAAUAUGCAAGGUAGGACAAAACUGGAGGGAAGAGUCUAGCUCUCCUACUUAAGGUGGAGGGAGAAAAACACCAAACACCUUGCUUCCAGAGGAGCAAGACUUAGUUCCAGGAUGCCUUUCCCACACUACAGGAAAAACUGCCUCCUUCAGCUUGGCAGCCUAGAUUUAUCCAUCCUAAAGUUUGACCCUGAGGUUAAAUGCCAGGCAGACACAAGUUUCCAUUAGUUUUCAGUCUGUCAUUCUCCCUGUUCACAGUGUUUAUAUCAAAAUGUUAAACAGACCUUAUAUCAUAUACAUGUUUGCACAACUGACACAGGUAUUUUCCUCAGUUUAUUAUUUUUACUACUGUGUGUGUGAGUGUCAGAAUGAGAGAAAAAACUAGAGAACCUUAUAGAUUUAUCUUUCACACAUUAUCGGACCAUAUUCAUUGUAAAGUAAAGUGUUAUUUGAUUUAAAUAAAAUGCUGGAAAAAACACA